UAUAGCAACACAUCUGCCCAUAAAUGGGCGCGAAGGGGUAGUAGCCUCUCUUUAGAGACAGAAAUUAUUUUUGUUUUCCUCAGCCAGAGCCUGCUAAGCUGAGUGAGGCUGUUCGUCCUCUCAGCUGUGCAAUUUUUAUUUCUCCCUAGGAGUUGGGGCCUGGAAGAAAUUGCAGCAUGUCAUCGAAGAGAGUGCCAUUUUACCAGAGAAGGCAUAAACACUUUGAUCAGUCCUACCGCAACAUUCAGACAAGAUACUUGCUCCAAGAAUAUGCAGCCAGAAAGGUCGCUUCUAGACAGGCAGCUUCCUUUAAGUCCUCUGCCAGUACAGAAAGAACUACAUGUAGGCUCUGUGCCAGGAGGUUACACACUUCAGCCGAAGAAGAGUCACAAGAAUACAGGAAAAGGACUCAUGAGCAAAAGUCUGAUAUAAGUGAAGAGAGGAGGAUCCGGUUUGCCGCCAAUUUGGCUGAUGUGGAAGAAGAGCUUCGUUCAGCCAGGCUCCUUGCAAGAGAACAUCUGGAUAGAGUUACCAUACAAAGGAUGGUAGAAGAACAAAUGGCCUUGGAAAGAUACACCAUUGAAGAAAGUAUAAGUCGAGCUCCUGAAAUUUUGGUACGACUGAGGUCUCAUACUGUUUGGGAAAAAAUGUCUGUGAGGCUUUACUUCACUGUACAAGGAUUUCCUACCCCUGUUGUACAAUGGUAUAAAAAUGAGGAAUUGAUUUCGCCUGCAAGUGAACCAGGAAAGUACAGCAUCGAAAGCAAAUAUGGAGUGCAUAUGCUGGAGAUACACAGAGCUAAUUUUGAUGAUACUGCUACCUAUACAGCAGUUGCAACAAAUGUCCAUGGGCAGGUGUCAACCAAUGCUGCUGUGGUUGUGAGGAGGUUCAGAGGGGAUGAAGAGCCAUACGCUGGUGGGAUAUUACCCAUCAAUUUGCCCCUGCCAUCAGAAGUUUGCUUCACCCAUAUUGAUGUUCAGUUUUUGGAGAAGUUUGGUGUCACCUUUGGGAUGGAAGGCGAAACAGUUACCCUCAAAUGUGCUCUGCUGAUCACUCCGGAUCUGACUAGGCUUCGACCUCGUGCUGAAUGGUACAGAGAUGAUGUGCUAAUAAAAGACUCCAAGUGGACGAAAAUGUACUUUGGAGAAGGCCAGGCAGCACUGUCUUUCACGCAUCUGAACAAGGAUGAUGAAGGCUUAUACACCCUGCGCAUAAUCACAAAAGGAGGGGUGACUGAGUACAGUGCAUUCAUGUUUGUCAGAGAUGCUGACGCAUUAAUUGCUGGGGCACCCGGGGCACCAAUGGAUGUUAAAUGCUAUGAUGCUAACAGAGAUUAUGUCAUUGUAACCUGGAAACCACCCAAUACAGCAAGUGAGAGUCCAGUCAUAGGAUAUUUUGUUGACAGAUGUGAAGUGGGUACUGAAAACUGGGUCCAGUGCAAUGAUGCUCCACUAAAAAUCUGCAAAUACCCUGUAACUGGACUGUUUGAGGGACGGUCUUACAUAUUCCGUGUGAGAGCAGUGAACAAGUCGGGUAUUAGCAGGCCGUCUAGAGUUUCUGAAGCAGUUGCAGCUCUUGAUCCUGUUGACUUAGACAGAUUACAAACUGUUCAUCUGGAUGGAGGCAGAGACAUUGUAAUAUAUCAGGAUGACCUUGAAGGCGAUGUUCAGAUUCCAGGACCUCCCACCAAUGUACAUGCUUCAGAAACCAGCAAAACAUAUGUUGUACUCAGCUGGGAGCCACCUGUUCCCCGUGGCAAAGAGCCAUUAAUGUAUUUCAUUGAGAAGUCUGCGGUUGGCAGUGGAAGCUGGCAAAGGGUCAAUGCCCAGGUUGCAGUGAGAUCUCCUCGCUAUGCAGUGUUUGAUCUUGCAGAAGGAAAAUCAUAUGUUUUCCGAGUCUUGUCAGCAAACAAGCAUGGCAUUAGCGAUCCUUCUGAAACAACACCACCAAUUCAAGCACAAGAGACCAUUGGUGUCCCAUCUGCUCCUGGCCGUGUACUGGCAACAAGAAAUACAAAAACAUCAGUUGUAGUACAGUGGGACAAGCCAAAACACGAAGAAGAUCUGUUUGGCUACUAUAUUGAUACUUCUGUGGUGGGAACAAACCACUGGGAACCUUGCAAUCAUAAACCUAUUAAAUAUAAUAGGUUUGUGGUUCAUGGUCUGACAACUGGAGAGAAUUACAUCUUUCGUGUGAAAGCUGCGAAUGCUGUGGGAGUCAGCGAAAAUUCUCAAGAAUCUGAAGCUAUAACAGUACAGGCAGCCCUCAGAGGGAGUGUACCUCACAUUGCCUGUCCAUCACAUCCUUAUGGCCUCACACUCCUUAACUGUGAUGGCCACUCAAUGACUCUCGGGUGGAAACUGCCAAAGUUCAGUGGAGGAUCACCAGUCCUUGGUUAUUAUAUAGACAAGAGGGAGGCUCAUCACCAUAACUGGCAUGAAGUCAAUUCUUCCCCUGUUAAGGAGAGAAUUUAUACGGCAGAGGAUUUGACAGAAAACUCCUUCUAUGAAUUCAGAGUCGCUGCUACAAACCUGGCUGGUAUAGGCCUUCCCUCAGAUCCCAGUGAGCACUUUAUGUGUAAAGCCUGGACCAUGCCAGAACCUGGGCCUGCCUAUGAUCUGACAUUCUGUGAAGUUAGGAAUUCAUCUUUGGUACUUCUGUGGAAAGCACCUGUGUACAGUGGUAACAGUCCUGUUACUGGGUAUUUUGUGGACUAUAAGGAAGUAGAUUCAGAAGAGUGGACCACCGCUAAUGAAAAACAAAUUUCACACUGUUACUUAAAGGUCAAUGAUUUACAUGAGGGCAAAACGUAUGUUUUCAAAGUCCGUGGAGUGAAUAAAGCCGGUAUGGGCAAAUCAUCUGAUAUUUCUGAGCCAGUGCUUAUCGAGGCAAGACCAGGAACCAAGGAAAUUACUGCAGAUGUGGAUGAAGAAGGUAAUAUUUACCUAGCUUUUGAUUGCCCAGAAGUUACAGAGGCAUCAGAUUUUACUUGGUGUAAAUCCUAUGAAGAGAUUACUGAUCUUGAUAAGUUUAAUGCUGAAACAACUGGAGAGCAUUCUAAGUUGUACUUCAAAAAUCCUGAUAAAAUGGACUUGGGAACCUAUUCUGUAGCUGUUAGUGACACAGAUGGCAUCUCAUCCAGCUUUAAAAUGGAUGAGAAAGAGCUUGAACGUCUGAUGACACUAAGCCAUGAUAUAAAGAACCCAACAAUUCCUCUGAAAUCAGAAUUAGCUUAUGAGAUGUUUGAUAAAGGAGAGGUUCGUUUCUGGGUUCAAGCUGAGAGUUUGUCACCAAAUGCCAGCUUCAGAUUUGUUGUUAAUGAUAAAGAAGUUGUAAACAGCGACCGCCAUAGAAUUAAGUGUGACUAUUCAAAUGGCAUUAUUGAGAUGCUGAUGGACCAAUUUACAAUUGAAAAUGAAGGAACUUACACUCUACAAAUUGAAGAUGGAAAUGCAAAGAACCAGUCUUCAUUAGUUCUCAUUGGAGAUGCAUUCAAGGCUGUAUUGGCUGAGGCUGAGCUCCAGAGAAAGGAGUAUCUCAGGAAACAAGGUCCUCAUUUUCUGGAGUAUUUACACUGGGAAGUUACAGAAGAUUGUGAGGUUUUACUUGUGUGUAAGGUGGCAAACACUAAGAAGGAGACAUCUUUCAAAUGGUACAAGGAUGGUUCUGGGCUUGAGGUUAAAGAGUUGCCUGAUUUACAGAAAGGAGUGUGCCAGCUAACUAUUCCAAGGCUGUCUAAAAAGAAUCAAGGUGAAUAUAAGGCAACAGUGUCAGAUGACAGAGGUCAGGAUGUGACUACUCUUGAUAUAUCAGGAAAAGUGUUUGACGAUAUAAUCCUGGCAAUGAGCAGGGUCAUUGGUAAAUCUGCUUCUCCACUGAAGGUCCACUGCACUCCAGAAGGAAUAAGACUUCAAUGUUUCCUGAAGUACUAUGCAGAUGAAAUGAAAGCUAACUGGUAUCAGAGGGAGUCUAAGGUUUCUUCUGGUGAAAAGAUGAGGAUUGGAGGUAGUGAAGAGGUUGCCUGGCUGCAGAUAUGUGAGCCCACUGAAAAGGACAAAGGGAAAUACACCUUUGAAAUUUUUGAUGGCAAAGAAUCCCAUAAGCGCAUGCUUGAUCUAUCUGGACAAGCUUUUGAUGAUGCAUAUGCAGAAUUCCAGCGACUCAAGGCAGUGGCUUUUGCUGAGAAGAAUCGUGGUAAAGUGAUAGGAGGUUUGCCCGAUGUGGUGACUAUAAUGGAAGGCAAGACUUUGAAUCUGAGCUGUUCUGUAUUUGGAAAUCCUGAUCCUGAAGUGGUAUGGCUUUGGAAUGACAAGAAAUUUGAACUUAAUGAACAUUAUUUAGUUUCAAUGGAGCAUGGAAACGUUGCCAGCUUUACAAUCAAGGGAGUGUCCUCCGAGGACUCAGGCAAAUAUAGCAUCAAUGUCAAGAACAAGUAUGGUGGGGAAACAGUGGAUGUUACUAUAAUUGUCACAGACAAACUAGCAGAAAUGAAAGAACUGGAAACAACAUCUGCAGCCAGGAGCACCAACAAACGAAAGCUCUGAGAUUCUUCAUAAAUGUACCUAGCCUCAGCUUCUGGCUUUUCAGAAAGUGACCUGUGUGUAUUGGAGAUAUCUUGGCUGACUUCUUUUGGAACAUUUAUAGUCAUGGAGCAGAAGGUGAAGCUGACAGACCACUGCUGGAAAUGGCAACCAGAAAAGCUAAGACCACAGAACAUGGGUCUGAAUGAAUCCUGCCAUGGAAAAACCAAUGGGAGCGGGGAAGAGGAGAACUCCAGGAGCUAUUGCUUAAGAGUAGAGCUGUCUAACACAUUUGUGGUUCUUCUUCUACUGCACUAUUAUCCUACAGUCUGAGAGCUGUGUUUGUUGUAGUCCCGUAACUGUACUAAACUACAGACUCUGGCACUUCUUUUGGAAGUAUGAAUUCAAAGUUAGAGAGUCAUGUUAUCUACUGUCAACUUUACCUCCACCUGGGGAAGCUGGCUGAAAAAUUGUUCAACCGCAUGAUCACAUUUCUGCUGAGGCAGACAAAAGAGUGGGAGGUUGUUUGUCAGCUUUCGAUGGGCAGAAUUGUAGCAUUCUGGAAUAUUUCCGCUGAUCACAGUGCUUUAAUAACAACAAACACAGGUGCAUCUGGUUUUUAGCUUUAUCUUCUUGUUUUGCCUAAACUAAUGCUUAAAUUUCAAUACAGUUAAUCAAAUAAGUGGCUCCCUUUAUUGUAAGAAAUCUCAUGAAAGUAGUUAUCUUACCCAAUUGUCAUAGAAUUUUUUUUAUUAUAAAAAUAGCAUUUUUAUUUCCCUUUUAUCCCCACUCACUUGAUGAUGCAGUGCUCCUGUUUAUGUACUUUACCAUCUAAUAAUCCCAAAAACUGUGAAAAUUAUUCCUACUACUAUUAUUUGUAUUACACCAGCUGAGAUUGGGGGCCCAUUGUGCUAGGGACAUUGUAAGAGACAGUCACUGUUCUAAAAUUCUUACAAUCUAAACAGACAAGACAAACAAAGGAUAGCAGGGGAAAUACAGCCACAGAGAGGUGACAUGACCUGUUCAUGGACAAUGCAGUUUAGUGGAGCCAGGAAUAGAAUGCAGCUCUGCUGAGUCCCGGCCGAGUGUCUUGUCCACAGAUUUUGUUGCUUCUGAAAUUUCAUUUGUUAUCGGGAGGCAACCAAUAGACCGUCUUUUAAGUAGAUCUGUACAACUAGAAUGAAAAGUUAUCCAUGAGCACUCAGUGAGAUUCAGGGUAAGCAUGUCCUGCAGCGAGAACAUGGGUAUUCACCAUGAAAAUGCUCACAUGGCCAAAUUAGUGUUAUCUUUGUAGGUCUGGGAGUAAAAAUAUUAGUUAGCAGAGAUUUACAAUAGGAGGGGGAUAGACUGGGGAACGGUUUUACGUCCAGUGACAUUUUUGCUCACAUUGCAGCAAAAGAGUAUUGUGCAAGGUGUCUGGAUGUAGCAACUGAUAGGGGAGAAGGAAUUGACACCUGUUGAGUAGGAUGGUUUCCUAUAUACUUAUGGGCUUUAUACUGUCUCCCAUCAACAUAGUAUUUGAGGGCCUUUCACAAAAAAAUCAACACCAACCGCCAAGUCCCUAGUGUAUUUCAUGGAGUCUCCGGCACUUCUCCCUUUUCAGGGUAAAACAUCUCCUUGGGUUAGGGUUUUGGGGGUUUUAAAGGUUAUUAACUUAUUUUUUGCUAAGGUUGACUUAUUUCAGGGUUAUUCUGUUGUUAGUUUUAGUUGGGGAUUUGGGAUAGAAGAAGAGGUCAUUCUUGUGGUGGAAUUUUAUGGCUACCCUGCUGCUGUGGCAGAUCCUGUUCCUGCUGUUGAGUAGGAUGGGAUGGCAUGCAGACUAAAUAUGAACCCAGCAGCAAAGCCCUGGAUACCUAUAGUUUAGUGUGUGUGUAAUCUGGAUCUAGAGUAGAGCUUGUUGGAACAUUUUCACUGAUUUCACUUUAGUGAAAUAUGCUGUUUCAUCCAAGACAAAAUGUUUCACAGUGGGUUUUUUGCAUCAAUGGAGACAGAGACUGAAGCUCUGACUCUAUAUCUUGGAGGUUAGGAGUUCUGGGCUGGGGGUGACCCAGGGGCAGGUCCUUGCUCUGCCUCAUUUGAAGUGAUGCUGGAUGCAAAUCUCUGCUCUGAAUGAGACAGAAGAGGGGCAUGACCUUGAUCCUGAGUCUCCCAGGCCAGUGCUGUAACCCCACUCCUCUCUUGACAUAAUUAUGUUCCUACAAAACCAUUAGAAAGAAUCUGGUUUUGUUCCAGUGUGGAAUGAGAACAAAUUUUGAAAUCUCAGAAGUUGCUGCAAAAUGGAAUUGUCAUCCUCUGGUCAACUCUAAUCAAGACCUCAAUUUUUGUGGCUGAUGAGAGAGAGAGAGCUCUGAUUUGAAACCAGUUAUGUAUCCUACCCUGUGUUUUGUAUUAGAUACCAUGACAAUCACAGUGAUUUUUAUCAGGUUAUAUUGGUGAUUUACUAUUUAUAAAAACGAUUACCAGAAACACAUCCUUAGUUCUUCUAACCAAUGGAUUUUGCAGCUUAAAAAUCUGACAUGGCAUAUUUAGUUUUCUUAUAACAUUUCUUUUAUACAUCAUGAUCCAAAUUCAGUGCUGGCUUGCCCAUCUAAAUGGGACUGAACAGUGCAAUGACAGAAUUUGUUCUAUACUUUAGUAUUUAUCCUACUUAGCUGAUUGAAAAUUUAUAUUGGAAAAUAGGAAUUCUAGAAUGAAAUGUUUAGGGAAAAACUCAGAGUCCACUGAACAUGGAAAGAUUGAGUGAGAUGAAAUUUUUUUAGUUUUAAAGGAAUGGAUAAAAACUGGAAAUAUAAAAUCAUGUUACAUUCACCUGAACUUAAAAGACAAAACUGAAAUAAGAUUCACUGAAGUUUAUAGUUCUUAGGCUCUCAGAACCAUUGCAACUAUUGCAGGCUUACAACCUGAUUCCAGCUUUAAGUAAAUCUCUUUUUAGAACUAAAAUGAUGCAAAAUUCACAUCUUUGCAAGGUCCACAUGAUACUAGGUGAACUGAAUAGUCAUGAAUGAGGGGCAGAUGUGAUUGGAGUCAGCAGGAGUUGAGUGGAUGGGAGGCAGAAGACUGUUUUCUAAUUCCAACUUUGUCAAUGACCUUGUGGUGUGAUUUCAGACAAGUCACUUAUUCAAUAGUUACCCAUCUGUAAAAUAUAAAUAAUAAUACCUUAGAGAGGCAUGUUAGCGCUAUGGGAGCAAGUGCUAAAUAUUAUAAUGAACGGAGUUCACUAGAACCUUAAAAUCAAAGCUCAGGAGAUGUGAACCCCCAGAGAAGGAAUUAAAAAAAAACAUUUUUGCAUCUACUUCAAACCAACAAGUCUUACAGAACUUUACUCCCAAAUCAUUAUCCAGUCUAGCUUGUAUAUCACAGUAGGCUGGAGCUUCCCAGCACACAGAGGGAGUAAACACACUACUAUACCCCUUUAGGGGGUACACGUUUCUUUCCGGUGUUGCUUCAAGUUCCACUCUGCAGGCUGGUGUUUCCCUACCUUGUCCUCCCCAGCUCCUUUCCUUGUACAUCCUGUGCCCUAACAUAGCAGUGAAAGAUCAGUCCAUUCUGCCUGUAUCUUGAGUGUGCCAGGAAAGGGGUGUGAAGGCUUCACCUGACCUCCCCACCCACUAUGCCUCUGGACAAGGGCUUCUUAGAAUCUAGCCCUUUGUUUUGUUGUUUCAAAGACUAAAAAAAGUUGUUUAUUGCAUUUAAAGAAAAGCUCUCUUGUCUAUUUUCUAUACAUGAGCAAUGACGCUCAAUCAAGUCCUGGAAAUCUUACACGUUUUAAUUAGAGAAAUGGGUAGAACUGGUUUGGCAAAUGUAAGGCAGCUACAAACUUGGGAUGUUUGGGAUGCUUUCUUAUCUGGCCUUCAAAUCCAUGUUCAAAGCACAGAUCCUGAGUGGUAUAAUUCACCACACUAGAACCAUGUAUCUACCUACAUCUACCAUCUGCUUUAGUCAGCUAUGUACAAUCAUGAUUCAGUCUAAUGUUGAGUAUUUGAAGAAAAUCUGUAUUACAGUCCACAUCACUUCUAAAUUCAUUUUUAAAUUAAUCAGAUCAUUAAGUUAAUGUAUUAGUCAUCAGAUCAGAUCUAAAUUCCCAUCUUAAUAUCUGCUGAUGGAUAAACAUGUAGAGUUUCAUAUAUAAAACAUUAUUUUAAAAUGCUCCAGGAAAACUAUAUGGACUGUAUUUUCAUGCAGAGUCUGUCCCUAUUGUUUUCCUGUAACUUAACUUACCUACUUUUUAGGGGUGUUGUAAGGUUUCAUUAAUUAAUGUCUCUAAAGAGUUUUGAAAUUCUCCGAUGAAAGGUUGUAUAGAAAGCCAACAUUAUUAUAAUAUAAUUUCAUUGUUCUCAUUAGGGAACACAAGAUUAGAAUGGAAAAUCUGGCAGUCUCUCUGCUCUUUAAUGUAGUGAAUAUGACAAUAAUACAUUUUUCUUUAUGUUGCACAGUGCUACCCAUUUAUUAACAUAUUAGCAACAACCAUCUUGGAUAUAUGAAUAUACUCACUGUACUUUUUUACCCAUUUUUCACAUGUAUGCAAAACAAGGAACAUAUCAUAGGGAAACAAAGGGAAGGUGCAAUAUGUAGGAACAAAGAAUAUCAGGGUUGAAAGGGACCCCAGGAGGUCAUGUAGUCCAAUCCCCUGCUCAAAGCAGGACCAAUCCCAGUUAGAUUUUUGCCCCAAAUCUUUAAAUGGUCCCCUCAAAGAUUGAACUCACAACCCUGGGUUUAACAGGCCAAUGCUCAAACCACUGAGCUAUCCCCCCCAAUGCAGGCUGCAGCUUUGAAAUGAGGGACUAUAGCCUAUAAAGCAGUGACUCUGAAAAGGAUUUAGGAAUCAUAAGGGAAAAACAUCUCAACAUGAGUUCCACAUGCUGUGCUGUGGCAAAAAGGAUUAAGGUGAUCCUUGGAUGCAUAAACAGGGAACUUGUAGAUAAGAGUAGGGAGGCAGUUUUACCUCCGUAUAUGGCAUUGGUGAGACUUAAACUGGAAUAUUGCAUCUUGUCCCGGUGUCCACAUUUUAAAAAGGUUGAAAUGUUUUGCCUUGAUUUCAACUUUUAUUUUUUACACUUUUGUACUAUAAAUUAACGUAAAUUUCAAAAAGAAAAACCUUUCUGAACAACAACAACAACAACAAAAAAUGGAACUUUUCAUUUAAAAAAUUGAACAUUUUGACAAUUUCUAAAGUUUUGGCCAAAAAUUUUGAAAUGAGAAAUGUAUUGAAAUGGAAUCUUUCAUGAAAAGUUGGGAUUUUGAUUAAUUAAAAAUUCCUGACCCACUGUAAUAUACAGUCACUAGUAAAAUGGAGCCCCAAUCCCUAAAUGGGGCCCCAAAGAAGAAAUGUCCAGUGGUUAAGAUGCUAGACUAGGAUUCAGUACAUCCAGGUUCAACACUCUUCUUGGCCACAGACUUACUUUAACCUUGGACAAGUCACUUAGUUGCCUAAAUACCUGGCCCUAAAGAUGCAAAUAGAUACCUAUUAGGAUUUACAAAAGUGUUUAGGUUCCUAAUUUCCAUUGAUUUCAACUCUGAAAAUCCCACUAGGUGCCUAUCUGCAUCUUUAGGUGUCUGAAUACCUUUAAAAUCUGGGCUUUAGUUCCUCUGUUCCCCAUCUGUAGAAUAACACUACUACUUCUCUACCUCACAGGAGCAUUGUGAGGAUAAAUAUAUUAAAGAUUGUGACGGGCUCAGAUUCUACAAUAAUGGAGGCCAUAAAAUUAGCUAUAUCAGAUACUACGUAAAUACAAAUUGUAACAACAAUGGAUUUAAAAAAAAAAAAGUUUCCUGAUAGAGAUAU